UCCCCUCCCCCCAAGUUGAGCUGUUACCAAUGGAGUCAGUCAUUCUAUACUAAAGGCUGAACUGUCCUGUAUAUGCUGUCUUCCCCUAUUAUGAUAUGAGAGAUCUUGGAAGGCAAAGACUGCCUAGCUUUCCUACAAUUUGUAACCCCAGUACUUAACAUUCAAUAACCACUUGCUUUUUCAUUCAUCCACUCAAUAUACAGGGUGAUUCUUCCCCAAAAUACAAGCUACCUGAAACAAUAAACAAUUGAGAAAUGACAAAAA